CAGGACAUGGUGCAAAGGAUAGCACGAGCUCAUAUUAUUCUCCCAUGGCUGGGAUGAGAGUUAGAUCGAGGUUCAAUUCCUCGUGUCCGUA